CACGGAGGGAGCUAGCGUUGUUCGGAAUUACUGGGCGUAAAGCGCGCGUAGGCGGUUACUCAAGUCAGAGGUGAAAGCCCGGGGCUCAACCCCGGAACUGCCUUUGAAACUAGGUGACUAGAAUCUUGGAGAGGUCAGUGGAAUUCCGAGUGUAGAGGUGAAAUUCGUAGAUAUUCGGAAGAACACCAGUGGCGAAGGCGACUGACUGGACAAGUAUUGACGCUGAGGUGCGAAAGCGUGGGGAGCAAACAGG
rnacentral:rRNA from 1 species